UACGGAGGAUCCAAGCGUUAUCCGGAAUCAUUGGGUUUAAAGGGUCCGUAGGCGGUCUUAUAAGUCAGUGGUGAAAUCUCUCCGCUCAACGGGGAAACGGCCAUUGAUACUGUAAGACUUGAAUUAUUGGGAAGUAACUAGAAUAUGUAGUGUAGCGGUGAAAAUGCUUAGAUAUUACAUGGAAUACCGAUUGCGAAGGCAGGUUACUACCAAUGGAUUGACGCUGAUGGACGAAAAGCGUGGGGGAGCGAACAGG
rnacentral:rRNA from 1 species